UACGGAGGGGGCAAGCGUUGUCCGGAAUUAUUGGGCGUAAAGCGCGCGCAGGCGGUCCUUUAAGUCUGAUGUGAAAGCCCACGGCUCAACCGUGGAGGGUCAUUGGAAACUGGGGGACUAGAGUACAGAAGAGAAGAGUGGAAUUCCGCGUGUAGCGGUGAAAUGCGUAGAGAUGUGGAGGAACACCAGUGGCGAAGGCGACUCUUUGGUCUGUAACUGACGCUGAGGCGCGAAAGCGUGGGGAGCAAACAGG
rnacentral:rRNA from 1 species